rnacentral:rRNA from 1 species
CCUACGGGUGGCAGCAGUGAGGAAUAUUGGUCAAUGGACGAGAGUCUGAACCAGCCAAGUCGCGUGAAGGAUGAAUGCCCUAUGGGUGGUAAACUUCUUUUAUAUGGGAAUAGACUGUUACACGUGUGGGCUUGUGUAUGUACCAUAUGAAUAAGGGUCGGCUAACUCCGUGCCAGCAGCCGCGGUAAUGCGGAGGGUACGAGCGUUAUCCGGAUUUAUUGGGCUGAAAGGGAGCGUAGGUGGAUAGUUAAGUCAGUUGUGAAAGGUUGCGGCUCAACCGUAGAAUUGCAGUUGAUACUGGCAGUCUAGAGUACAGUAGAGGUGGGUGGAAUUCGUGGUGUAGCGGUGAAAUGCUUAGAGA